rnacentral:rRNA from 1 species
GCCAGCCCGCUCAGAAACUCAAAGGAAUUGACGGGGGCCCGCACAAGCGGUGGAGCAUGUGGUUUAAUUCGAUGAUACGCGAGGAACCUUACCUGGGCUCAAAUGUAUGUUGACGUAUUCUGAAAGGGAUACUUCUUCGGACAAUAUACAAGGUGCUGCAUGGUUGUCGUCAGCUCGUGCCGUGAGGUGUCGGGUUAAGUCCCAUAACGAGCGCAACCCCUACCUUUAGUUGCCAUCAGGUAAUGCUGGGGACUCUAAAGGAACUGCCUACGCAAGUAGUGAGGAAGGCGGGGAUGACGUCAAAUCAGCACGGCCCUUACGUCCAGGGCUACACACGUGCUACAAUGGCCGAUACAGAGGGCAGCUACCUGGUGACAGGAUGCUAAUCUCAAAAGCCGGUCUCAGUUCGGAUCGGAGUCUGCAACCCGACUCCGUGAAGUUGGAUUCGCUAGUAAUCGCGCAUCAGCCAUGGCGCGGUGAAUACGUUCCCGGGCCUU